GGUGGCUCAGAGGUAAAACACAUGCUUUUGGGUGCAUGCAGAAGGGUCCAGGUUCAAUUCCCGGCAUCGCCA